rnacentral:misc_RNA from 1 species
GUGAAUCAUCGAAUCUUUGAACGCACCUUGCGCCCUUUGGUAUUCCGAAGGGCAUGCCUGUUUGAGUGUCAUGUAGACUCAACCUCCCCGGUUUAUGAUCGGGACGGGUUGGAUAUGGGCGCUGCCGAUUGCCGGCUCGCCUUAAAUGUCUUAGCGGGCUCAGAAGCCCCGACCUAGCGUAAUAAGUUUCGCUGGCGAGGGUGCGGAUGACCGCUCACAACUGCCCUUGGGCACCUUUUGACUCUGGCCUCAAAUCAGGUAGGACUACCCGCUGAACUUAAGCAUAUCAAUAAGCGGAGG